GGCUCUCUGUGCGAUUUUAUGAAGGCUCUUAAUUUUGUUAUCCGUGACUAAGCAGCAGUAACCAGCGAGCCAGUCUGCGUUUCUAAACUAAAGUCUGAGGCAUCUCAGUCUGAGUCUGAGCAGUCGGAGUCUGACUCUGAGUCGCAGGUGCACAAAUUGGAGCUGCACUACUGCAACCCACACACAGCCACAGAGAACUGAGCACCGAGCCGUGGACACUGGGUGCGAAUGUCUAUACUGUGUAUGGGAAUGGUCGCUGUGGACGGGGUGCCCGGUGGAGGAGACUGGACAUGUACUCGACUGGGCGGCCAUUGCGUGUCUCUGUCUGUGUCUCAAUCUUCGUCUGGCUCAAUUUGAAAUGCCUCGCACUGAACAGAAAAUCAUUAAAAAUGCAGCAAUGAAAAAUAAAUUUCUGUUCAGUUGAGUGUCAUGUCAAAUAAAUCAUAAGACACGCCAAAUACCCAAAAUAUAAGUAAAUAAAAAAAAGCGGUUGACUAGGAAAUCAGCACUCGGA